GAUGAACGCUGGCGGCGUGCCUAAUACAUGCAAGUCGAGCGAACGGACGAGAAGCUUGCUUCUCUGAUGUUAGCGGCGGACGGGAGAGUAACACGUGGAUAACCUACCUAUAAGACUGGGAUAAAUUCGGGAAACCGGAGCUAAUACCGGAUAAUAUUUUGAACAGCAUGGUUCAAAAGUGAAAGACGGCCUUGCUGUCACUUAUAGAUGGAUUCGCGCUGCAUUAGCUAGUUGGUAAGGUAACGGCUUACCAAGGCAACGAUGCGUAGCAGAACUGAGAGGAUGAUCGGCCACACUGGGACUGAGACACGGUCCAGACUCCUACGGGAGGCAGCAGUAGGGAAUCUUCCGCAAUGGGCGAAAGCCUGACGGAGCAACGCCGCGUGAGGGAUGAAGGUCUUCGGGUCGUAAAACGCUGUUAUUAGGAAAGAACAUAUGUGUAAGUAUCUGUGCACAUCUUGACGGUACCUAAUCAGAAAGCCACGGCUAACUACGUG
rnacentral:rRNA from 1 species